rnacentral:rRNA from 1 species
UUAGAGCUUGUUAAAGCAUUUUAUUUACAUUAAAAAAGUUUAUUGUUAAAAUCAAUGUAAUUUGAAUUUAGUUAAUUAUUUAAUUUUAAAAUUUACUUUUUUUUAAAUAAAAUAAUUUUUUGUUUUAUUAUUAUUAUGAAAAAAUUAAUGUUAAUUAUAGAUUAUUAGUAUUGUGAAAGAAUUUAUUUAAAUAUUUAAAAGAAUAGUUAAUUUUUAGUACCUUGUGUAUCAUGGUUUAUUAAAUAAUAAUUUUUGAUUAAAUUUUCUCGAAUUUAAAAGAGCUAUAAAUUUAUAAUUUUUAUUGUUGCAUAAAUAUUAAUAAUAUUUUUAUAGUAAUGAAAUGUUAUUCGUUUUUAAAAAUAUCUAGUUUUUUCAGAAAUAAAUUUAAUUUAUUUAAUGUAAAUAUUGUAUUUUAUUUUUAAUAUAAUAUUAGCAUUAAGAAAUAUUUAAGGGGAUGAGCUUUUAAAUAUAAAUUUAAAAGUUUAAUUAAGAUUUUAAAUAAAUAGGAUUAAUAAUUUCCAUUUUUAAUAGUAUUUUAUAAUUAUUUUAAGAUUUUAUAUGAUUUAUAUUAACUUUAAUUUUUUUAUGAAAAUUUUUACAUUAAUUAUAUUUGUUUAGUAAUAAUGAUAAAAUUAGUAUAAAUUUAUGUAAUUUAAAUUAUUGGUUAGGUUAAAUAAAGGAACUCGGCAAAUAAAUUUUUUACCUGUUUAUUUUCAAACCGGUGUAAGCCAGGUUGGUUUCUAUCUCAAAAUUAUUAUAAUUUUUUAGUACGAAAGGACCAAAAAUUUUAUUUAUAAUAUAUUUUUAGAAUAAUAUUAUUAUUUUGGCAGAUUAGUGCAAUAGAUUUAGAAUCUUUAUAUGUAAUUUUUACAAAUAAUACUUGAAAGAUUUAUAUUUAAUAAUAAUUUCUUUAAUUAUUUUAUUUUUAUGUGUAAUAGUAGGGGUAGCAUUUUUUACGUUAUUAGAGCGAAAAGUUUUAGGAUAUAUUCAAAUUC